CGCGGUGUGUGAAGCUUCGUGACCUGCGACAAGGCCGAUCAUGCGCUGAUGACGGCCCGCAAAUACACCGUAUACUGACACGCGGUAAUAUAGGUGCACGUAUCAUUACUGGCGUAGCGUGCGGUUUGUAAAGAUGAUCCCCGGGCUCAACCUGGGAACUGCAUCGUGACUGCAAGGCUAGAGUGCGUCAGAGGGAGGUGGAAUUCCGCGUGUAGCAGUGAAAUGCGUAGAUAUGCGGAGGAACAUCGAUGGCGAAGGCAGCCUCCUGGGAUGACACUGACGCUCAUGCACGAAGGCGUGGGGAGCAAACAGGAUUAGAUACCCUGGUAGUCCACGCCCUAAACGAUGUCA
rnacentral:rRNA from 1 species